GAUUUAAAUAGAGAGAGUCACUUUGCAUUGUCACACAUGCUUCAGUGCUCUGAGAGUGUUUAUAGUGCUGUGAGUUUAACACUUCAUGACUGAGAGCAGAACAGAACACAAUCUUCAUCAUCACACAAGACAAAAGAACAACAAUGAACAAAAUCACCUUCUUCAUCUGGACAUUGAUCUGUAUAUCAGGCUCCAGUGGACAGAUCACAGUUACUCAAACUCCUGUAGUUCAUACAGUCACACCAGGAGAAACUGUUGUGAUGAGAUGCAGCGCCAGCACUCCUUUAACAGGCUGUAGUCCUACACCCUGUCUGUCCUGGUACUUACAGAAACCUGGAGAAGCUCCUAAACUCCUGAUUUAUAGAGUGAACAGCCUCCAGUCAGGAACUCCAUCUAGAUUCAGUGGCAGUGGAUCCAGAACUGAUUUCACUCUGACCAUCAGUGGAGUCCAGACUGAAGAUACCGGAGAUUACUACUGUCAGAGUUACCACAGCAGUGGUGGUGUGUUCACACAGUGAUAAAGAGUGGUACAAAAACCUCGGUCAGUCAGACGUCACAGUGAUGCACUGAUACAGCUGAGAGAUACUGCAGCUGCUGAUGGAGGAUCACAAACAACACAAUGACCACACUCACCCUCAUUCAUUCAUACAAACACAACUGCUCACAGACGUGACCUGUUUUCUGAAUCCAGCGUAUCAUUAAUAGUUUUGUGGAUUGAACUCUUGGAGCUCUUACUCUCUAACCGAGUCAAGGACGAUCUCAGCAGUCCAGAGGCUUCAGACACUGACAGUGUUUCAUUAUAAACUGAUGAACAUGAACAAACCUCAUCUCUCCAUUAGUCCAACUCUUCUGACUCAUUUCAGAGAAUAAAGUGUGGACAGUGAAACUCAUAUUUGAUCAUCAGGUGAUUCUGUUCCUCUCAGAAUAGAGCAGCUCCAUCAGCAGAUGUUCAGCGUCCUCACAGGAGCUUCAUGUUACUGGAAUCCACUGCUUCUCUUGUUUCUGGAGAUACACUGGGAAAGUUCAAUAAGACCUUGUUAUUACUAAAAGGAACAAUAAAUAAAUAAACCCAUUUCACAUUUUAAAAAGUUUGAUGUUGAAGAAACAGUCGUGUAUGACUCAAAUAAUUACUGGAGAUCAGGUUAUAAAUGGAGAUGAAGCAGUCGCAGGUUUAGUGUUUGUUAACAGCGGGGUUUGUCGCCCACAUUACAGUAAGGAUGUGUUUGUUUCUGCUAGAUGCAGUUGUGUUUUACCCCAAUACAGAACAAUGAACUGUUUAUCUGUUUCAUAUCCUUUUCUUCCUUUUUCUUCUCUUGUCCCUUGUAAUACACACCAAAGUUCAGGAAAACCUGCAUGAUCCCAAAGCGACUGUGGAAAUUACUGAAGCACAUCUGAUAAAAACUUGCUGAGAUACA